rnacentral:lncRNA from 1 species
CUGCACGCCAUUUGGUCAAUGCAUUUUGCAUUUGCAAUGGACCAACAGUUUUUUGAGGUUGUUUGUGUUUUGUAGUUUGUAAUUUUUGUGAUUUUAUCCAGGAAAUAUAGGAGCUGUGGUGAUGAAAUUUUCCAACACAAAAGAAAAAUACAUAGAAGCAGUACGGUAAUCAAAUACUGGCUGAAGUCUCCAAAAACUCGUUUUACCAGCAUAGAGAAAUCUAAAAAUGUUCAAACACCGGAUCCUGGAGGAAAAUCUGAAUGCUACAAAAAUUGAGAUUGAAUUGAGGUACAGUAACAUAAACCAGUAUGUAGCUCAAAAAAUUGCUACUUCAAACAGGAAGAGAUUAAAGUAUUCUGGAGCACCACAAUAAGGACCUUUCUUAAUAGAUAAAUGACAUGCAUAUGAGUUAUUUUAAUAAACAAACUUCUCACAUUAUUCAAGUCUUAACUAUUUACAUCCCUUAAUUAUUCAUCAAUAUGUCAAUAGACAUCUAU